rnacentral:rRNA from 1 species
GACGAACGCUGGCGGCGUGCCUAAUACAUGCAAGUCGAGCGAGACUCUUCGGAGUCUAGCGGCGGACGGGUGAGUAACACGUGGGCAACCUGCCUGUAAGACUGGGAUAACACCGGGAAACCGGUGCUAAUACCGGAUAAUCCUUUUCCUCUCAUGAGGAAAAGCUGAAAGUCGGUUUCGGCUGACACUUACAGAUGGGCCCGCGGCGCAUUAGCUAGUUGGUGAGGUAACGGCUCACCAAGGCGACGAUGCGUAGCCGACCUGCGAGGGUGUUCGGCAAGACUGGGACUGAGACACGGCCCGGACUCCUACGGGAGGCAGCAGUAGGGAAUCUUCCACAAUGGACGAAAGUAUGAUGGAGCAACGCCGCGUGAGCGAUGAAGGCCUUCGGGUCGUAAAGCUCUGUUGUUAGGGAAGAACAAGUACCGGAGUAACUGCCGGUACCUUGACGGUACCUAACCAGAAAGCCACGGCUAACUACGUGCCAGCCGCCGCGGUAACAC